UUUGAUACCGUGCCUGUUGCUGCGCCAUGUGUGUGCUUAAAACAGGCUUCCUUUUUGUAGCAUCAGAAUUGGAAACCAUUACUUAUAUCAAAUUGCACAUCUUGGAGAUGAUGAUGAAGAACCUGAGUUUUCAUCUGCCAUGCCUCUGGAAGAAGGAGACACAUUCUUCUUUCAGCCAAGACCACUCAAAAAC